rnacentral:rRNA from 1 species
GCUCUGUURUUAGGGAAGAACAAGUGCGAGAGUAACUGCUCGCAYCUUGACGGUACCUAAYCAGAAAGCCACGGCUAACUACGUGCCAGCAGCCGCGGUAAUACGUAGGUGGCAAGCGUUGUCCGGAAUUAUUGGGCGUAAAGGGCUCGCAGGCGGUUUCUUAAGUCUGAUGUGAAAGCCCCCGGCUCAACCGGGGAGGGUCAUUGGAAACUGGGAAACUUGAGUGCAGAAGAGGAGAGUGGAAUUCCACGUGUAGCGGUGAAAUGCGYAGAGAUGUGGAGGAACACCAGUGGCGAAGGCGACUCUCUGGUCUGUAACUGACGCUGAUGAGCGAAAGCGUGGGGAKCGAACAGGAUUAGAUACCCUGGUAGUCCACGCCGUAAACGAUGAGUGCUAAGUGUUAGGGGGUUUCCGCCCCUUAGUGCUGCAGCUAACGCAUUAAGCACUCCGCCUGGGGAGUACGGUCGCAAGACUGAAACUC